CCUACGGGAGGCAGCAGUGAGGAAUAUUGGUCAAUGGCCGGAAGGCUGAACCAGCCAAGCCGCGUGAGGGAGGAAGGCGCAGAUCGUCGCAGACCUCUUUUGCCGGGGGACAAAAGGCCGGACUCGUCCGGUCCUGAGGGUACCCGGAGAAAAAGCCCCGGCUAACUACGUGCCAGCAGCCGCGGUAAUACGUAGGGGGCAAGCGUUAUCCGGAAUUACUGGGUGUAAAGGGUGAGUAGGCGGCAUGGUAAGCCAGAUGUGAAAGCCUUGGGCUUAACCCGAGGUUUGCAUUUGGAACUAUCAAG
rnacentral:rRNA from 1 species